AAUAAAUGCAGCCAUGAGUUUCCGCGUCCAACUUUGAUUGUCCGUCUUAUUCGAAAUUUUUUAUAAUUAGCAUUUUUGUUGUUAUGAGAUGAUAAAACAUGAAUAGUACUUUACUCAUGACUUAUGUUUUUAAUUUUUUUUCAAAAAAAAUUUAAAUAAGACGAACGGUUAAAGUUGGGUGCGGAAAACCAUGGCUGUACUUAUU
rfam:Oryza sativa Japonica Group DNA, chromosome 5, cultivar: Nipponbare, complete sequence.